UACGGAGGGUGCAAGCGUUAUCCGGAUUCACUGGGUUUAAAGGGUGUGUAGGCGGAUACUUAAGUCAGUGGUGAAAUCCCCGGGCUCAACCUGGGAACUGCCAUUGAUACUAUUUAUCUUGAAUUCUGUUGAGGUGGGCGGAAUACAUCAUGUAGCGGUGAAAUGCUUAGAUAUGAUGUAGAACACCGAUUGCGAAGGCAGCUCACUAAGCAGCGAUUGACGCUGAGGCACGAAAGCGUGGGGAUCAAACAGG
rnacentral:rRNA from 1 species